rnacentral:rRNA from 1 species
UACAGAGGCCUCGAGCGUUUAGGCGGAAUCACUGGGCUUAAAGCGUGUGUAGGCGGACUUCUAAGUACCUUGUGAAAUCCCACGGCUCACCCGUGGAACUGCUUGGUAUACUGGUUGUCUUGAGCCUUCUAGGGGGCGAGUGGAACAAAUGGUGGAGCGGGUGAAAUGCGUAGAUAUCAUUUGGAACGCCAAUGGUGAAAACAACUCGCUGGGGAAGUGCUGACGCUGAGACACGAAAGCCAGGGGAGCGAACGGG